AGAAUACUAAAUUGAUUAGGAAAUUAAACUAGGUUCUGAUUUAUGUCAGAGAAAUUUUCAGAGCGUUUACGUUCAGUGUACGUUUUUCAUCAACGGUUUUCAAUCACUCGCGAAACUUUAUCUCCGCUCCUGAUCCAAAAUAAAAGUAUUCUACACUGUACAUGAUGUUUGUGGUGCCACGAUGGAUGAUAUUCCGAAGGCCAACAGUUGAAGCUGUCAUCGAUCCCCGGAUCGGAUUCACAGUGCUGGAGUUAGUGCUCCUCGUUUACGCUGGGUUCCUUCAUAGUUGCCGAUCACUAUUGCAUCAGCUGGCAAGGUUUCCCCUGAUUGAUUGGAUUACUGGAGUGUAGUGACGUCCGUCUUACUUCCGACAGAAAAGAUCCGGAUGGUUUGAUCAUCAAGAAGCCCGAUUCAGCAUCCGCAAGCCCAGACUUGUUCGCCGUAAGGGACAUUACUGUGGAUAUGGACAUCGGGAAGACCAUUGCCAACGGGGAAAAAACCGCACAGCAGGUUGCGGCCAACGGAAGGAAGUAAGAGGGUGGUGCUGUAUGAAUUUUAGUGAAGAUUGUUUUUAAUAAUUAUAACAUACUUGUGAAAUAAAUUGGUUUACUAUUUUCGGUUUUUAUUUUAUCCCUUUUAAAAUGCGAUAAA